ensembl:snRNA U6 U6 spliceosomal RNA
GUGCACACUUUGGUAGCACAUACACUAAAAUUGGAAUGGCACAGAGAAGAUCAGCAUGGCCUCUAUACAAGAAUGAUAUGCAAAUCUUUGAAGCUUUAUAUAAUUAA